CCGGGAGCGCCCGGCGCGCCCGCUCGGGCACCUCCCCUUAAAGCGGAAGCGGCGCGGACGCGGCGGAGGCUCGUCCCGGCCCUCCGCUCCUGGACUGCGUAAAUAGAUUUCGCGCAAAACUGGAAGGGCCCUCCACGCCUUCCCCUUCUGCCCGUGCUCUGGGUCUCCACGGACAUCUUUGCAGCCUUCCUUACAGAAAUCGUGGAAACGCGCAGUGAACUGAAAGCCCGGUCUGCACACAGGUUGAGUGUUCAGCUAAGCAGAAUAAAUUUUCGUGACAGCUAAGCCCGCUAACUAUGCAUAGCUUCCAGUUCUUGGAGAUGCUCCUGCGUAUGCUGUUAACUCUGCCACCACUAGGUGGCACCAUUCUCUCGUGACCUGCAACCGAGGCUUCCUCGGGGUUCCCAGACCUGACGGCGC